AAGCGAGAAAAACACUUGAACCCAAACAUGGGGCUUUACCUUCCAACGGUCCCCAGUCUUGGCAAAUUUGAAACUUGACUAAGAACCCGCUGCAGGGAGCAGUCUGAGCAGAUCGAGAAGCAAAAGAUAGAAAAGAUGCAAUCGUUUGAGAGAUCCCUUGGAAUCAGAAGCUUCUCGACUUCCGAUUCGGCUUCUCUUUGGAAAAAUGUCGCUUCUCUUCUCGACUCUCUCUCCAUUAAACCAGGUGCAUACCAAAACCCUAACUCUAAGGAGGAACACUGGUGCAAAAUUGUGGGGAUUGUGAAAUUGGGGAAGUUGUCUUUCAAUUGGCCUAAGAGCGUUAGCUACAGACAAUAAGCAUGCUCGAGGACAAACCUGGAAAUCCUGAUGCACACCAUUGAAGUGCCUUAGGCCCUUGGCGGUGACUUAGUUGUGCUAGAGAGCCAUACAAAGACAUGGUGCAACAUCCAUUCCCUUUGCCUUUCUUUGGCAACCCACUUAUAUUGUCAUGAUUUUAGCAACAAUGACACAUUAUCUGGACAUUGUAUUUGGAAGUACAUUUGCAUACGGCGAUGAUUCCACUUUCUUGCAUAGCAUUGUCGUUAGCACAUUUGUUUUUCUUGACACUCCCGUGAGAAGAUACAUUGUUAGUCUUUCUAAAGAUGACCCUACUUCUUUUUCA